ACAAGUACCGUGAGGGAAAGUUGAAAAGUACUUUGAAAAGAGAGUGCAAGAGAACGUGAAACCGGUGUAAUGGAAGCGAAUGGAGCCGACGUAUCUGGUGCGUAUUCAGCCGUUUGGCGUCGUGAUUUCUGGCGUUGGCAUUCCGCAAGGUUGUCGCGUUGGUACUGUUGCGGCGUUGGGCGGUGCAUUUGCGUACGGAGUGCGCCGAGUCUUGCGGUGCUGUCGAUUGAAGCGGCUUAAGAGGACAGUGCUUUCGGGUGCUGAAACCUUGGGUCGUCUAGGUCGGUUGGCGCUGCCGGAUUUUGUGGUGGUACAGGUUUUUCGUGCGGGUCUAUGGCGAUGCGUUUGGUUUGCGACGUACACAUGUGUGCUGCGCUUAUCGGGCGUGUCGUUGUGGGCUUGUGCCCUGUGCGCUUUUCGGUGUAUAGUCGGUGACCCAUUCGACCCGUCUUGAAACACGGACCAAGGAGUUUAUGGUAUACGCGAGUCAUUGGGCUCUGAAACCCAAAGGCGUAAUGAAAGUGAGUCUUUACUAGUCGGAAUGUGAUCGGUCGGGCUUUCGAGACCGGCCGAGCAACAUUGCCCCGUUUCGAGGACUUGUCCUGAUGCGGAGGUUGAGCGUAUGCUAUGAGACCCGAAAGAUGGUGAACUAUGCCUGAACAGGAUGAAGCCAGAGGAAACUCUGGUGGAAGUCCGAAGCGGUUCUGACGUGCAAAUCGAUCGUCUGAUUUUGGUAUACGGGCGCAAGACUAAUCGAACCAUCUAGUAGCUGGUUCCUUCCGA
rnacentral:rRNA from 1 species